GUGGGUAGUUUGACUGGGGCGGUCUCCUCCUAAAGAGUAACGGAGGAGCACGAAGGUUGGCUAAUCCUGGUCGGACAUCAGGAGGUUAGUGCAAUGGCAUAAGCCAGCUUGACUGCGAGCGUGACGGCGCGAGCAGGUGCGAAAGCAGGUCAUAGUGAUCCGGUGGUUCUGAAUGGAAGGGCCAUCGCUCAACGGAUAAAAGGUACUCCGGGGAUAACAGGCUGAUACCGCCCAAGAGUUCAUAUCGACGGCGGUGUUUGGCACCUCGAUGUCGGCUCAUCACAUCCUGGGGCUGAAGUAGGUCCCAAGGGUAUGGCUGUUCGCCAUUUAAAGUGGUACGCGAGCUGGGUUUAGAACGUCGUGAGACAGUUCGGUCCCUAUCUGCCGUGGGCGCUGGAGAACUGAGGGGGGCUGCUCCUAGUACGAGAGGACCGGAGUGGACGCAUCACUGGUGUUCGGGUUGUCAUGCCAAUGGCACUGCCCGGUAGCUAAAUGCGGAAGAGAUAAGUGCU
rnacentral:rRNA from 2 species